CCCCGAAGGAUCACUCGCCAGAAAAUACCGCCCACUACCUCCUGAUUGGCCGACUGACCAAAGGACAAUUGUCUGUCAUCUUUGUCUAACCAUUUAUGAAGUUUGACAGAAGUUAGGCACAGAUUUUUGAUAUGAUUGUACAAGUUGGAACAAAUAUGGGGAUUUAAUUUUAAAUUUUGUACAGCUGACAGCUGACCAUAGAUAACCUAACCUGUUUGUUUAUAUUUACAUAACCGUUACAGUCGGAGCCGGAAACUUUCUGAUUUUUAUUCGACUUAUUACACUAAUUAAAUGAGACCAUUGAUAUUGAUACUUUGAAAGCAAUCUGAUGAUUACAUGCAUUAAGAGUUCUUCUUUUGGGUACAUCAAACUUUCCAUUUUCCAAAAAUAAAAGUAAUAUUAGAUGAUCGAAAUACUCAAAAAUCUGGAGCAUUCUCAAAUAA